rnacentral:rRNA from 1 species
GACGAACCGUGCGAACGUUGUUCGGAAUCACUGGGCUUAAAGGGCGCGUAGGCGGGCUGCCAAGUCCGUAGGUGAAAUCCCCCGGCUCAACCGGGGAACGGCCUCGGAUACUGGCGGCCUCGAGGGGGGUAGGGGCGUGCGGAACUGUGGGUGGAGCGGUGAAAUGCGUUGAGAUCCACAGGAACUCCGGUGGCGAAGGCGGCACGCUGGACCCUUUCUGACGCUGAGGCGCGAAAGCCGGGGGAGCGAACGGG